rnacentral:rRNA from 1 species
AACGAACGCUGGCGGCGUGCUUAACACAUGCAAGUCGAGUGCGCGUGCCGUAGCAAUACGGUAUGGCGCACGGCGCACGGGUGCGUAACACGUGGGCAAUCUGCCCUCCGAUGGGGAAUAACUCCGGGAAACCGAAGCUAAUUCCGCAUAACAUUCCCUGGACUCCGGUUCGGGGAUUCAAAGCAGCAAUGCGUCGGAGGAGGAGCCCGCGCCCGAUUAGCUAGUUGGUGAGGUAACGGCUCACCAAGGCUAUGAUCGGUAGCUGGUCUGAGAGGAUGGCCAGCCACACUGGAACUGAGACACGGUCCAGACUCCUACGGGAGGCAGCAGUGGGGAAUCUUGCGCAAUGGGCGAAAGCCUGACGCAGCGACGCCGCGUGGGGGAUGAAGCUUCUCGGAGUGUAAACCCCUUUCGACCGGGACGAAUGCCCGCAAGGGAGUGACGGUACCGGUAGAAGAAGCCCCGGCUAACUACGUGCCAGCAGCCGCGGUAAGACGUAGGGGGCCAGCGUUGUUCGGAAUUACUGGGUGUAAAGGGUUCGUAGGCGGUGUGGCAAGUCGGGAGUGAAAUUUCUGGGCUUAACUCAGAACCUGCUUCCGAAACUGCUGUGCUGGAGUGUGGGAGAGGCGCGUGGAAUUGCAGGUGUAGCGGUGAAAUGCGUAGAUAUCUGCAGGAACACCCGUGGCGAAAGCGGCGCGCUGGACCACUACUGACGCUGAGGAACGAAAGCUAGGGGAGCAAACAGGAUUAGAUACCCUGGUAGUCCUAGCCCUAAACGAUCAGGACUUGGGGUGCCACCCGUUCGGGUGUCGUCCCGGAGCUA